rnacentral:rRNA from 1 species
GACGAACGCUGGCGGCGUGCUUAACACAUGCAAGUCGAACGGUGAAGGUGGAGCUUGCUCCGCCGGAUCAGUGGCGAACGGGUGAGUAACACGUGGGCAACCUGCCCCUCACUUCGGGAUAACUCCGGGAAACCGGGGCUAAUACCGGAUACGACCUCCUUGGGCAUCCUUGGAGGUGGAAAGUUUUUCGGUGAGGGAUGGGCCCGCGGCCUAUCAGCUUGUUGGUGAGGUAGUGGCUCACCAAGGCGACGACGGGUAGCCGGCCUGAGAGGGCGACCGGCCACACUGGGACUGAGACACGGCCCAGACUCCUACGGGAGGCAGCAGUGGGGAAUAUUGCGCAAUGGGCGAAAGCCUGACGCAGCAACGCCGCGUGCGGGAUGAAGGCCUUCGGGUUGUAAACCGCUUUCAGCAGGGAAGAAGCCGCAAGGUGACGGUACCUGCAGAAGAAGCACCGGCUAACUACGUGCCAGCAGCCGCCGCAG